AUUGAACGCUGGCGGCAGGCUUAACACAUGCAAGUCGAGCGGGGUGAUGGUGCUUGCACUAUCACUUAGCGGCGGACGGGUGAGUAAUGCUUAGGAAUCUGCCUAUUAGUGGGGGACAACAUCUCGAAAGGGAUGCUAAUACCGCAUACGUCCUACGGGAGAAAGCAGGGGAUCACUUGUGACCUUGCGCUAAUAGAUGAGCCUAAGUCGGAUUAGCUAGUUGGUGGGGUAAAGGCCUACCAAGGCGACGAUCUGUAGCGGGUCUGAGAGGAUGAUCCGCCACACUGGGACUGAGACACGGCCCAGACUCCUACGGGAGGCAGCAGUGAGGAAUAUUGGACAAUGGGGGGAACCCUGAUCCAGCCAUGCCGCGUGUGUGAAGAAGGCCUUAUGGUUGUAAAGCACUUUAAGCGAGGAGGAGGCUCUUUUGGUUAAUACCCAAGAUGAGUGGACGUUACUCGCAGAAUAAGCACCGGCUAACUCUGUGCCAGCCGCCGCCAUAC
rnacentral:rRNA from 1 species